CCUACGGGAUGCAGCAGUGAGGAAUAUUGGUCAAUGGUCGGGAGACUGAACCAGCCAAGCCGCGUGAGGGAUGAAGGUACAGAGUAUCGUAAACCUCUUUUGUCAGGGAACAAAGGCGGGGACGCGUCCCCGGAUGAGUGUACCUGAAGAAAAAGCAUCGGCUAACUCCGUGCCAGCAGCCGCGGUAAUACGGAGGAUGCGAGCGUUAUCCGGUUUUAUUGGGUUAAAAGGGUGCGCAGGCGGUCUGUUAAGUCAGCGGUCAAACCCCGGGGCUCAACCCCGGCCCGCCGUUGAAACUGGCAGUCUCGAGUUGGAGAGAAGUAUGCGGAAUGCGCGGUGUAGCGGUGAAAUGCAUAGAUAUCGCGCAGAACUCCGAUGGCGAAGGCAGCAUGCCGGCUCCACACUGACGCUGAGGCACGAAAGCGUGGGUAUCGAACAGGAUUAGAUACCCGGGUAGUC
rnacentral:rRNA from 1 species